UUUUAAAGUAUUACCCUCUAAUUUAUACUGUGUGUCUGUAUAAGAGACAAUCCAUCUUAAUUUUCCAGGUCCAGGUUGGCUUUGGCUGAAGUUUUAAAGGACUUUGGAUUAAUAUCAGGACUAUUCAACAUUACCGUUCAACUAUCAAGACGGGAAAAGAAUAUGAAAAUGGCAAAUUGAUUUGUAUUCUGGUUCGGCAGGCGAAGAGGAGUGGAUGAUGGAACAGAAGCUUCAACACCAGUACGGUACAAAUGGUAGUACUGGUGAACGGUAUCGUACAUUUAUUAAUUGCACGUUAAGGCCAUAAGUGGUGAGUCUCGAGCGUGGGCCAACUAUGUUGGUUAGAAUAGUUGCACUUCGUGUAUUGUAUCAUUUUAUCACUCGCGCCGUAUUUUUCUUGACUAUACCCGAAGAGGCUCACCAUAAAACAAAAUACGUUCGCGGCGUUGCUGGGUUUAGGUUAUUGUUUCAAAUAGGACAUAGCUCCAAAACAAAGUAACAGUUUGUUCGUUAAAUCGUUUUACCCACACGCGCAAUAACAUUAGGAUUUAGCAUUUCUUCACUUAUAUUUCAUUCCUCGCGUGCUUUCGAUUUCCCUGUACAGAUACGUUUAUUAGACUUGUUUUCAGCAUUUGAGGCAUAUCGUCAACCCAGCAGCGUUGUAUAAAACACAUUUACACACACAAAAAUCAAAAUUAAACACAAAAAAAAACACUGCUGACUUGCCCGUACCUUGUCGUGUGGUGCAGUGGCGACUGGUCGUCGGUGAAAUUUUAAGUAAGCGUGUUCAUGAACAAGGGGAGUUCUUUUGACAUACACACAUGCAUCUUCCAGCUAUCAAGCAAUCCGUCUUAAUAUGAAGAAAAAGAAACUUAUUUAUUUUGUAUUUGUCUAACAGAAAUGGAAAGUUACUGUUAUUU